GUGGGGAAUCUUCCGCAAUGGACGAAAGUCUGACGGAGCAACGCCGCGUGAGUGAUGAAGGUCUUCGGAUUGUAAAGCUCUGUUAAUCGGGACGAAAGAGCCUAGUGUGAAUAAUGCUAGGAAGUGACGGUACCGGAAUAGAAAGCCACGGCUAACUACGUGCCAGCAGCCGCGGUAAUACGUAGGUGGCAAGCGUUGUCCGGAAUUAUUGGGCGUAAAGCGCGCGUAGGCGGAUCUGCCAGUCUGUCUUAAAAGUUCGGGGCUUAACCCCGUGAUGGGAUGGAAACUACAGAUCUAGAGUAUCGGAGAGGAAAGUGGAAUUCCUAGUGUAGCGGUGAAAUGCGUAGAUAUUAGGAAGAACACCAGUGGCGAAGGCGACUUUCUGGACGAAAACUGACGCUGAGGCGCGAAAGCUAGGGGAGCGAACGGGAUUAGAAACCCUAGUAGUCC
rnacentral:rRNA from 1 species